rnacentral:miRNA from 1 species
UCGGAGUGUCACAGAACUUUGC